UGACGAUGUCAGCCAGCAGGGGAGACCUGAUGCGCGGCAAUGGUUGCGCUCACAUUAGGAUUUCCCCAUAAGAAAGCAUUAUUCAUUGCUUUCCUAUAGGGAUUCUGGAGACGCUGGAAGUACUCAUGCAUAGCGUGAGGACGUCCAGCAUUGUUUAUCCUACUGGAUGUCACUUGAGUGGCUGUCUGGUAGACAGCCACAAGAGGAGGAGUUAACCCUAGCAGAUAAGUAUUACAGUUUGUUAAGACUGCAAAAAUUACAUGCUCAG